rfam:Clonorchis sinensis DNA, scaffold: 797, strain: Henan.
GAAUUGGCUUUACUGAAAGCCACCAAAGCUAUCCAUGUGAGAGACAU